GGAAAAAAAAUAUAUUGGUUUGCAU
rnacentral:piRNA from 1 species